AGUGCGGGUCUCGCGGAUGCAUCUAGAUUGGUUGAUUCUGCCUGACGUGGAUGCUAGUCUCAUAGAUUUAGCCAUGCAUGUGUAAGCGAAGCGAUUAGUGGAGCGGCGGAAGGCUCAGUAACGGGCGAGUAUUUAAUCUCCAGAACCGGACAACCUCAGGAAACAGAGGGGAAAACGGAGUAAAAGCAUGUUUUAUGCAUGUGAUGAUAACGAUAGUGCAGGAGAGUAAGAAGCCACCCCAUCAGUUAGUAAGUAGGGUAAGGGGCUAUUUAGACAUAGACGGGUACGGGGGAUUAGGGUUUGAUUCCGGAGAGGGAGCCUGAGAGACGGCUACCAGGUCCAAGGACAGCAGCAGGCGCGAAAAUUACCGAAGCCUCCAAGAGGGCGGUAGUGAAGAGACGUGAAUUUAAGUGUGUGUAAAAAGCACGCGAGUAACUGGAGGUCAAGGCUGGUGCCAGCAUCCGCGGUAAUACCAGCUCCAGGAGUGUCUAUGAUGAUUGCUGCGAUUAAAAGGUCCGUAGUCGAAGAACAAUACUUGUUUGUAAUGUGGUCUAUCAAGGACCAAAUAGAACGAGAAGAGUUCUGAAUAGGAGCGAAGGAGGGCUAGAUUAUUGAGCAGCGAGAGGUGAAAUUUGAUGACCUGCUUAGGAGUAACAGAGGCGAAAGCGCUAGUCAAGAGCGAAUCCGAUGAUCAAGGACGUAGGCUGGAGGAUCGAAGACGAUUAGAGACCGUAGUAGUUCCAGCAGUAAACGAUGCCAACGCUGAUGUGGAGGUUGCACGACAGAAGAGAAAUCUAGUACGGCUUUGGGGAGAGUACGCGCGCAAGCGAUAAAUUUAAAGGAAAUUGACGGAAGAACACCACAAGGAGUGGAGUGUGCGGCUUAGUUUGACUCAACGCGGGACACCUUACCAUACCCGAUGACCAUGUGAGCGUUGUACGCGAUAGGUCAAAGAGUGGUGCAUGGCCGUUAAUGACGAGUGGGGUGACCUUUGGGUUAAGUCCGCGAAGUAGUGAGAUCCCUAGGAUAGCUUUAGCUUAUCGACAGGUGUUAAAGACACAGGAAGGAAGGGGCAAGAACAGGUCAGUGAUGCCCUUAGAUGGUAUGGGCUGCACGCGCACUACAGUGGUUGCAACAAGUAUUUACAGUGCCAAUUGCAAUCGAGAGGGAAUGAGCACUGAAAUGUGCACAGGAACGAGGAAUUGCUAGUAAUCGUUGUCUCAUUAAGAAGCGAUGAAUGUGUCCCUGUUCUUUGUACACACCGCCCGA
rnacentral:rRNA from 1 species